GAUGAACGCUGGCGGCGUGCCUAACACAUGCAAGUCGAGCGAUUCUCUUCGGAGAAGAGCGGCGGACGGGUGAGUAACGCGUGGGUAACCUGCCCUGUACACACGGAUAACAUACCGAAAGGUAUGCUAAUACGAGAUAAUAUGAUUUUAUCGCAUGGUAGAAGUAUCAAAGCUUUUGCGGUACAGGAUGGACCCGCGUCUGAUUAGCUAGUUGGUAAGGUAACGGCUUACCAAGGCGACGAUCAGUAGCCGACCUGAGAGGGCGAUCGGCCACAUUGGAACUGAGACACGGUCCAAACUCCUACGGGAGGCAGCAGUGGGGAAUAUUGCCCAAUGGGCGAAAGCCUGAUGCAGCAACGCCGCGUGAGCGAUGAAGGCCUUCGGGUCGUAAAGCUCUGUCCUCAAGGAAGAUAAUGACGGUACUUGAGGAGGAAGCCCCGGCUAACUACGUGCCAGCAGCCGCGGUAA
rnacentral:rRNA from 1 species